UACGAAGGGGGCUAGCGUUGCUCGGAAUUACUGGGCGUAAAGCGCACGUAGGCGGCUUCUUAAGUCGGAGGUGAAAUCCUGGAGCUCAACUCCAGAACUGCCUUCGAUACUGGGAAGCUCGAGUCCGGGAGAGGUGAGUGGAACUGCGAGUGUAGAGGUGAAAUUCGUAGAUAUUCGCAAGAACACCAGUGGCGAAGGCGGCUCACUGGCCCGGUACUGACGCUGAGGCACGAAAGCGUGGGGAGCAAACAGG
rnacentral:rRNA from 1 species